rnacentral:tRNA from 1 species
GCGUCCUUAGCUCAGCUGGAUAGAGUACCUGGCUACGGACCAGGCGGUCGGGGGGUCGAAUACUCCCGGACGCGCCA